CGGACGGGUGAGUAAUGUCUGGGAAACUGCCUGAUGGAGGGGGAUAACUACUGGAAACGGUAGCUAAUACCGCAUAACGUCGCAAGACCAAAGAGGGGGACCUUCGGGCCUCUUGCCAUCAGAUGUGCCCAGAUGGGAUUAGCUAGUAGGUGGGGUAACGGCUCACCUAGGCGACGAUCCCUAGCUGGUCUGAGAGGAUGACCAGCCACACUGGAACUGAGACGCGGUCCAGACUCCUACGGGAGGCAGCAUG
rnacentral:rRNA from 1 species